rnacentral:tRNA from 1 species
GGGCCGUUAGCUCAGUCGGCAGAGCAGUGGACUUUUAAUCCAUCGGUCGGGGGUUCGAAUCCCCCACGGCCCUCGA